AGUCCCUGCUGGAUCUAGCAGUCUUCCAGAUGCUCUGGGGUGACUUCACCGGGCUGCCUUUGGCACGAACCCUGCUGUGUGGUGUUGCCUUUAGAACUUACCAGACUGUCUUCUGUGUUGAUUUGCCCAUCAGCCUGAUCACACGAGGCUCAGUCUUUCUGAGGUCUCAAGAAAUGUGUGAAUUACGAGCCCUGAGCCACCGUGGAUGAAAUCCAGGCUACUCCAGUGAGAGAGCACUGAGACGCCACCUUGGACGUCCCAUCCAAGUCAAGGUAGCAUGGGCCCUGGUUUUCAUCAGUCUGCAACUGGAUGAGAGACCCCAAGUGAGAACCGCUCAGCUGAGCCUCGUCAACCCACAGAACUAAGACACCAUGCCGUUGGCUUUGAGGAUGGAGGGUGUGCCGUGAGCCAAGCUGGUCUGUAGAGGCUGGAAAAGGCAAGGGAACGGAUUCCCCCCGAGAGCCUCUAGAAGGAAUGCAGAUCUGCCAACACCUGGACUUGAGCUCCUUAAGACCCACCCAUUUUUUGGACUUCCGACAUCCAGAAGUAUAAGAUCAUAACUCUGUUGUUUUAAGCCACUAAAUCUGUGCUAAUCUGUUAGAGCAGCCACAGGAAGCUACCAUAUCGCGCCCUGAGCAUCUUACGCACAGAAUCUUUUGGAAUUCUCCCAACAACCCUAUGAGGCAGGUCUUACUACCACUUUAGAAUUGAGGAAGCUGGCACUCAGCGGGGUGAAGGGACUUCCUCAGGCCACACAGCUAUUAAAUGGCAGAGCCGGGGACAUAUGCUGACCUUGCCAUUUAUGGUUAUGCUCACAAAUACCACGAGUCUACGAUUUAUAUUUCUUUUAGUUGUUCCAGUGCCAACACUGAGAAAGUCCCCAUGAGCCAUAAUACGAAAACUGCAGUUUUGAAAUUGCAAGGGUCAUUGACUCAUUCGUCUUUAUUGUUAUCGGCACCGAAGUAUCUCAUUUGAAAAGAUGAACUUCGGGGCACCUGGGCGGCUCAGUCGCUUGGGCAUCCGACUUCGGCUCAGGUCAUGAUCUCGCGGUUUGUGGAUGCGUGCCCCACAUCGGAUUCUGCGUCUCCCUCUCUCUCUCUGUCCCUCCUCCACUCGUGCUCUGCCUCUCUGUCUCAAAAAUAAACACUAAAAAAAAUUUUGGAAAGAUGAACUUCGCUUGGGGCUUGGGUGGGCCACAGGUACACCUGAAGCUGGAGUUCCCGGGCUGCCCCUUAACCGCCAGGCCACCGAGAGCAAGUCCCAUCACCUGUCGGACCCCGUUUUCUCAUCCGUAAAAUGGGAAUUAUAAAAACACGCCUAAGUGCGCUAAGGGAUGUCAAGCGUUCUGCACUUUGUCCAUGUUGGUUUUGUGCCUUUUCCCCCCUCGUCUCGUGUUUCCUGGCCAAGCAUUG